rnacentral:rRNA from 1 species
GGGGAAAACUCACCAGGUCAGGACACGGUAAGGAUUGACGGACUGAAGGCUCUUUCUCGAUUCCGUGGAAAGUGGUGCAUGGCCGUUUUUGGUUGGUGGAUCGAUCCGUCUGGUUAAUUCCGUUAACGAACGAGACCUCGGCACUCCGAAUAGCGCGGCGGACGUCGCGGCCUCCGGGCCGUCUUCCGCACGAGCUUCUUAGAGGGACCGUCCCCCGCCGGGGAAGGAGGUGCGAGGCAACGACAGGUCUGUGAUGCCCUUAGAUGUUCUGGGGCCGCACGCGCAUUACACUGACGCGUCCAACGGGUGACUCCCGACCCGAAGGGGCCGGGGAAUCCGCAAGGCGCGUCGUGAUGGGGAUUGAACGUUGCAAUUGUUGUUCACGAACGAGGAAUUCCUAGUAGGCGCGGGUCAUCAACCCGCGCCGAUUACGUCCCUGCCC